AAAACAAAUCAAAAUGUUAAAGUAGGCAAGAGAAAGGCCAAGAACGACAAUGCAAAUGCUAAGUUGAAAAAAAAGAAGGUUCCUGCUCUAGCCGAAAAGAAGGUUGGUGAGUACUAUCUAGAUCUUUGAUGAACAUUUUCAAACCAAGAUUAGUUGUCAUACAAACACAGAGAUUGUCAGCAUUCUAAAGCAAUACUUGGCUAAAACACAACAAUAAAUGUUUCGGGAUAGUUGUUUAGGCUGCUUCCUCGACUUGCCUCCAUUCAAUAAUCAGAAUCAACUCAUAUAUGCUUUGUUACUUAAGGAAAUUGCCCUUGAUUGUAAAAAGAGAUAUGGAUUAAAAUCGAUGGUAAUACCUUGCGGUUCGGCAUCAGAGAAUUUGCUUUGGUUACUGGGUUGAAGUGUUACGAAGAUGAUAACACAAUGUAUGAUGAGCCAGAAGUCAACAGGUUACUGAAAGAGUAUUUUCCUGGAGAUGGA